GCCCGGAUGGCGAAACUGGUAGACGCACUACUUUGAGGUGGUAGCGCCCUUACGGGUGUGCGAGUUCGAAUCUCGCUUCGGGCA
rnacentral:tRNA from 1 species